AUCGGCUCCAGCACCAGGGGACUUGCUAUAUAUUAAGAGAGCCGCCUUCAUCUCUCCUCUCCCUUAGUGUAAGAAAAUAUCGUCCGCUGGUAUCUUCUCUCGACUCUCGCGGCUGCGUGCUUUCCCAUCAGGCCAUCAAUUGUUAUUUCAGCUGUUGCUGUGAUUCCUCAGAAUGGCAGAUGGUCAUGAGACUGAUAAGAACAUCGAGAUAUGGAAGAUCAAGAAACUGAUCAAGGCUCUUGAAGCUGCAAGGGGAAAUGGAACCAGCAUGAUUUCUCUCAUCAUGCCUCCCCGGGAUCAAAUCUCUCGUGUUACUAAGAUGCUUGGUGAUGAAUUUGGAACUGCUUCAAACAUCAAGAGUAGGGUGAAUCGUCAGUCUGUUCUUGGUGCAAUUACAUCUGCUCAGCAGAGGCUCAAGCUUUACAACAAGGUUCCUCCUAAUGGGCUUGUGCUGUACACGGGAACAAUUGUAACUGAUGAUGGGAAGGAGAAAAAGGUCACAAUUGAUUUUGAGCCUUUCAGGCCAAUCAAUGCGUCUCUUUACCUCUGUGACAACAAGUUUCAUAUUGAAGCUCUGAAUGAACUCUUAGAAUCUGAUGACAAAUUUGGUUUCAUUGUCAUGGAUGGUAAUGGGACACUUUUUGGGACAUUAAGUGGCAACACUAGGGAAGUGCUUCAUAAAUUUAGUGUGGACCUCCCAAAGAAGCACGGAAGAGGAGGGCAGUCAGCUCUACGUUUUGCUCGUCUUCGAAUGGAGAAGCGCCACAACUAUGUUAGGAAGACAGCAGAGCUUGCCACACAGUUCUAUAUUAAUCCUGCCACCAGCCAGCCCAAUGUUUCAGGAUUAAUAUUGGCUGGGUCCGCUGACUUCAAGACUGAGCUUAGUCAGUCAGAUAUGUUUGAUCCCCGUCUGCAAGCCAAAAUACUGAAUGUGGUGGAUGUUUCUUAUGGAGGGGAGAAUGGUUUCAAUCAGGCUAUUGAGCUGUCAUCCGAGAUUCUGUCCAACGUGAAGUUUAUACAGGAAAAGCGCUUGAUAGGAAAAUACUUUGAGGAGAUUAGCCAGGACACAGGAAAGUAUGUUUUUGGUGUGGAUGACACACUGAAAGCUCUGGAGAUGGGUGCUGUUGAGAUUCUUAUUGUGUGGGAAAGUUUGGACAUCAAUAGGUAUGUGCUAAAAAAUACCACUACUGGUGAGAUUAUAGUUAAACAUUUCAACAAGGACCAGGAAAACAAUCAGAGCAACUUCCGGGAUUCUGCCAACGCUGAAUUAGAGGUUCAGGACAAGAUGGCCCUGUUGGAGUGGUUUGCUAAUGAGUACAGGCGGUUUGGUUGUACUCUUGAGUUCGUCACCAACAAAUCACAGGAGGGGUCACAGUUCUGCCGUGGUUUUGGUGGCAUUGGAGGAAUUCUUCGCUACCAGCUUGAUAUGAGGUCAUUCGAUGAGUUUUCUGAUGAUGGAGAAGUUUAUGAUGACUCUGAAUAGCAAUCAAUCAACUCUUCCCCGAUACUGGUGCAGGAAGGUGGGGUGCGAAAAGCCUGCACCAGUGCGCUCGGAGUCGUGGUUGCUGCCGCUGCGACUGAGCAAUGCUCACGAAAUUUCGCAGGCUUGAUCCAGGACAUUACAUUGUUAUCUGAUCCUGAAAAGAUUGACCUGGUGAUUUCAUCUGGAUCGCAAAAGAGGCUGGGCAUAUCGAUCAUCCAGAACGACCUAAGAGCUGCCUCCUUUGGAUUGAGACCUUGCGAACAUACGCACCCAUGUUAUGAGAACCCCAUGAACGAUUCUGGUCUAUGGAGUAGUGCUUUUGGUUAAGUUAGUUGUUAUUGGUGGUUUUCUUAUGACUUACAGUUGUGUCGUGUCAAAACAAUUUACUAGUAGCAUUGUGGCUCAUCAGUGAGAUGUAGCCGGGCUGAAUAAUCAUGUUUUAACUAGUACUACUUUAUCUAGUUGUGGUCAUCUUCAAAAGUAUUCUAUUCUAGGGUUAUUGUCUUAUGAACCCUUUUUCCUUUGUGCUAUGAAUACCUUUUUGGAGCUUUUAUUUGCAAUGUAUGUAUGGAUUGAAUAUUUGCAUAAA